rnacentral:lncRNA from 1 species
AAAGUACUAAAUAGAAGCAUUAUGUUGUGUGCAGAGAAAUAAUGCAAGCUGUAAGAUUCUCACCUGCAUUUCAGUGAGGUCAUUUCCUUUUUCUUUUUGUCUGAUUGUGUUUUUUUUAUUUUAGUUUUAGUACUUAACUAAUCAUUUUCUAUUUAUUAUGUUUCACUUUCUUCUUCAUUUUUUUAUAAGUUUUGGGUUAUGUUUGAUAUGAUGGAAUGGAAUAAGCAUAGUAAUGGAAUGGAUUGUUACAUUCCAUUAUCAUGUUUGGCUUGAUUGAUAAAAUGGAAUGAGACAUUCAAACUUGUUUUUUGUUAUCUACAGUUAGAUAAGUAAAUGGAUAUAAAUUGGCAGAUAAAGAAAAAAAAUUAUUAUUUUAUAAAAUUGAACUUUAUUCAGUUAAGGCCUUAUUGUUUUGUUGUGUUUUGCAGAUAAUUCAUGAUUUAGAUCAUCUAGCCACAGAGGUUUGUGGGAACUACAUCGAACACAUGUUAAAGAUUAUAAAUUCAUGCUCUACCCAAGUUGUUGACAUUGUUAAAAACAGCAUCUUACAAGGGGGACAAUCUCUUAAAGAUCUUGUCCCUUCUGUCAUUGAUUCAAUCAUUGAAACAUUAGUUGAAAAGUCAAACGAGGUACAUUUUUUUUAAAAAACUUUUUUUUGCAACAUCAUCCAUCGCUAAUAAAAAAACAUUCUUUGAUACAUAAUUACAGGAACUGGAACAACUACACGGGAUAGUUGUUGCUUACAGAAUGACCAAAAAACCACCUCCUAUGAGACAUUCCCAUUAUGUCUCGGGGGUGUUGCGCCCCUUGAAGGUAUAUUGUUUUGUUUUUCUCAGCAUCCUAUUUUCAUUUCUUCUUAUUACAAUACUUUUUAAUAAGAGAGUGGACAGGUUUUUGUGGAGGGUGAAAGAGCUAUGACAUAUUUAACAGAGGAUAGAAGAGGUAAACUGAUAGAAGGUGCUGCAGUGAAGAUUACUGGGCGUUAUAAUGAUCUNUGAUAGAAGGGCUGCAGUGAAGAUUACUGGGCGUUAUAAUGAUCUGGCUACUGAUAUUGUCAACACAGCAAGAAAAAUUUAGAUGAAGUUAUACGGUUAAUUGCAGCUGCCCUAUAUACAUCUCCAGCAAUCAUCAUGCAACUCUUCAAAUUAAAGUGCAAUAUCAAAUUAAAAUUUAGAUGAAGUUAUAUGGUUACAUCAUGAUGUAUUAUAUCAUCCAUUGGUGUACAUGUUUAGGGAGGGCCAUUACAUCGAGUCCUUCAUAAAUGUCUUAGAUGCCAUAUAACUUCCUACAUAUUCUUUGUCAUACAUUAAGAAUCUAGCUGAGUAGAAGCUAUAUAGGCUUCUGUGAAAUAGAAAAUAAGGUAAGAUGAUAACAAGCUUGGAUCAAAUGCUUCUGUGAAAUCCUUCCAUGUUAAAUGAUUCCCAACAAGAUCCAAGAAAGUCUUGAAAGAUGAUAACUGUAAUCGAAACUAAACCACGGAAUUCUGAUUCACUAUGUCUUUGUUCCCUUGACAACGGGAAUGGAAUCAUAUACACUUCAAAUCCUUUAUAUGAGGAACAUUAUGUGACUCCUGAAAACAAUCUUAGGAUUAUAUUCGAGCAGUAUUACUUGAUGGAUUAAUAGAAGUAGCCACUAGACAAGCUCAUGUUUCCUCAAGUUCCCCCAAAUCUGUAUUCAAGAGAGGGUUUUCAAUAUAUCAUGCUUCAUUAAACCAUGUUUUGUUCGACCAGUUUAUUAGAAAGAAGCUGGUAGCAAGUGCUAAGGAAAGCAUAAAGCAGAAAGCUAGAUAUUCAGAGAUCUACAACAAGAUGCAAACAGUUUUCAUAGAAAUUGAUAGAUCUCCGAUUGUAAAGCUUCAGUAUAUUAAGUGUUAAACACGAGAAAUAGCAACACAUUUUCAUAAUUUUCAAAGUAUACUUUUCUAACUUGUUGUCCUACAUUACAAACAACUACGAUAGUUAAAGAACUAAAGGACUUACAAGAAGCAGUGAUGAAAGUAGAAGAUGGAGAAGAAAACAGAAAGGGGAAGUUUGAUCCUCAGGAGCACAGUGAUGCACACUUAUCUGUGAGAGUUAAUGAACAAAGAGUCAGCAAUCUACUGCAAAAGCUUCUUUUAGCAAGAUCUAUAUGUGCACUGCCACUUAUAAAGUUAAUACCAACAUCAGUUCUUUGGGGCUAUUUUGCUUACAUGGCCAUUGAUAGUCUUCCCGGAAAUCAAUUUUAGGAAAGGAUCUUGCUUCUCUUUAUCCCCUCUAGCAGAAGAUACAAGUAAGUUCUUUCAUUUUUUGAGUAUUAAGAUUAAUCACAAUUCUACAGCUUUUUUUUGUGUCAUCUCAACUCUAACUUAAAAACCCAAAAAUCUUUGCAUCUUCACCAUAAGAAAACCUUUUCCUCGUCUUAGUGGUCGAUGGGUCCAAUCCCAUUACUAUGCUUAUUCCAUUCCAUCAUAUCAAACAGAACCCAAAACUUAUAAAGGAAAAUGAAGAAGAAAGUGAAACAUAAUCCUAUUGGAAUUUGGUUUAGUUUUUUAUGUUGAGACAUAUAUUGAAGCUACAUAUAUUCAGGUUAGUUAUAAUAAAUUUAAUUUCAAUGAAUGGAUCUUCAUUAGUGUCUUUUCACCAAUCUUGUCCUAAUGGUAACCAUUAAAGCACCUCUGUAUUAACAGUUGAUCUGUUGUGAACCAAGAGUUGUUGUGGAAAGAGAAGUGCUUUUGGAAGACUUGUCACUUUGAACUAGAAACUCAUCCCUUGCACCACUUUCUGAAUGCAACAUUCCAUACUAUAAGUAGAACCCCACUAAGCGUACAUCAAUACAAGGUCUUUUUUAACACCUAAACAUAUUAAAUUUCAUAAUUAUUAUUUAUUACAUUAAUGCUUUUAAUAUGUUCGUUACUUGCUUACUCCAACAGUUCUCAUUGGUCGAUUGGUUAAUGCCCACCAACAUCUCCUAGCACUAAGGAUAUCAGAUUAUCUUGGAAUACACCAAGUUCUGUGAUAUUUCCAAUACCAAUGAUAAGGAAGAAUUACAAUCUGGUGUUAUGGAAGGAGUCAAUCUCUUUGGGAAGUAAUGGAGCCAAAAGAAGGUAGUCUACUCUAGGUGCAGUUUGUUAUUAUUCUAUUGGUGAUUUGAAGCAUGGAGUUGAUGCCUCCUGCAAGUGAAGUUACU